CGCCUYUUGAAUAAUUAACAUAAGAGGUCCCGCCUGCCCUGUGACUUAAUGUUUAACGGCCGCGGUAUUUUGACCGUGCAAAGGUAGCGCAAUCACUUGUCUUUUAAAUAAAGACCCGUAUGAAUGGCAUAACGAGGGCUUAACUGUCUCCUUUCCCCAGUCAAUGAAAUUUAUCUCCCCGUGCAGAAGCGGGGAUAAUAACACAAGACGAGAAGACCCUAUGAAGCUUUAAAUAAAUUAUGGAUGACACUAAUAAACUUAGUCAAAAGAACAAAUCAAGUCAAACCCAUAGAACAUUUUUGGUUGGGGCGACCGCGGAGCAAAAAGUAACCUCCGUGAGGAAUGGUUAUUAACCAUAACUAAGAAUUGCAAUUCUAAGUAUCAAAACAUUUGACCAAAAGAUCCGGUAAAACCGAUUAACGAACCGAGUUACUCUAGGGAUAACAGCGCAAUCUUCUCCAAGAGUCCUUAUCGACGAGAAGGUUUACGACCUCGAUGUUGGAUCAGGACAUCCUAAUGGUGCAACCGCUAUUAAGGGUUCGUUUGUUCAACGAUUAAAGUCCU
rnacentral:rRNA from 1 species